rnacentral:rRNA from 1 species
AACGAACGCUGGCGGCAUGCCUAACACAUGCAAGUCGAACGAGACCUUCGGGUCUAGUGGCGCACGGGUGCGUAACGCGUGGGAACCUGCCCUUAGGUUCGGAAUAACUCCCCGAAAGGGGUGCUAAUACCGGAUAAUGUCUUCGGACCAAAGAUUUAUCGCCUUUGGAUGGGCCCGCGUUGGAUUAGCUAGUUGGUAGGGUAAAAGCCUACCAAGGCGACGAUCCAUAGCUGGUCUGAGAGGAUGAUCAGCCACACUGGGACUGAGACACGGCCCAGACUCCUACGGGAGGCAGCAGUGGGGAAUAUUGGACAAUGGGCGAAAGCCUGAUCCAGCAAUGCCGCGUGAGUGAUGAAGGCCUUAGGGUUGUAAAGCUCUUUUACCCGGGAUGAUAGUGACAGUACCGGGAGAAUAAGCUCCGGCUAACCCCGUG